rnacentral:rRNA from 1 species
UUAAGUGAACAAGGGCAUACGGCGGAUGCCUUGGCGCCAAGAGCCGAUGAAGGACGCGGUAAGCUGCGAAAAGGCAUGGGUAGGAGCAAGCAUCCUGUGAUCCAUGCAUAUCCGAAUGGGGCAACCCACCAUCAGUCAUGUGAUGGUACGAAAGAGGCAGACCUGGGGAACUGAAACAUCUAAGUACCCAGAGGAAAAGUAAUCAAUUGAGAUUCCCUAAGUAGCGGCGAGCGAAAGGGGAAGAGCCCAAACCAUGAAACUUCGGUUUUGUGGGGUUGAGGACCGGCAAAAAGAGGAAACUUCUUAGUCGAAUGGUUUGGAAAGGCCAUGCACAGAAGGUAAAACACCUGUAGGCGAAAAGAAGUCAAUCGGGCUGGUAUCCAGAGUACUGCGAGACACGUGAAACCUUGCAGGAAGCAGGGGGGACCACCCUCCAAGGCAAAAUACUACUUGGCGACCGAUAGCGCAUAGUACCGUGAGGGAAAGGUGAAAAGAACCCCGGGAGGGGAGUGAAAUAGAACCUGAAACCGUAUGUCUACAAGCAGUCGAAGCACCUUAAGAGUGCGACGGCGUGCCUAUUGAAGAAUGAACCGGCGAGUUACAUUAUGUUGCGAGGUUAAGUGGGAGACACGGAGCCGAAGCGAAAGCGAGUCUUAAUAGGGCGACUAGUAACAUGGUGUAGACCCGAAACCGCAGUGAUCUAUCCAUGGUCAGGUUGAAGCGCAGGUAAAAAUGCGUGGAGGACCGAACCCGUGAGUGUUGAAAAACUUUGGGAUGAACCGUGGAUAGGGGUGAAAUGCCAAUCGAACGCGGAGAUAGCUGGUACUCCCCGAAAUAGCUUUAGGGCUAGCCUCAGGGAAGAUUAUAGACGGUAGAGCACUGAUCUGGCAAGGGGGCGUAAAGCCUACCGACCCUAGUCAAACUUCGAAUGGCUAUAAUUAAGACCCUGGGAGUCAGACUGCGAGUGAUAAGACCCGUAGUCAAGAGGGAAACAGCCCAGACCGCCGACUAAGGUCCCCAAUGCUGUACUAAGUGGAAAAGGAUGUAAGACUUCAUAAACAACCAGGAUGUUGGCUUAGAAGCAGCCACCAUUAAAAGAGUGCGUAAUAGCUCACUGGUCGAGAGGCCUUGCGCCGAAGAUGUCCGGGGCUCAAGUACAGAACCGAAGUCGCGGCAGGAUUAUAUAAUUCUGGGUAGGGGAGCGUUGUAUAUCCGACUGAAGGUGUACCGGAAGGAGCGCUGGAGGAUAUACAAGAGAGAAUGCCGGUAUGAGUAGCGAAAAGAACAGUGAGAAUCUGUUCCACCGAAAGCCUAAGGUUUCCUGAGCAACGCUCGUCGACUCAGGGUAAGUCGGGACCUAAGCCGAGGCAAAAAGCAUAGGCGAUGGACAACAGGUUAAUAUUCCUGUACCGCUUCAAAUCGUUUGAGCAAUGGAGUGACACAGAAGGUAGCUUGAGCACGCGAAUGGAUGUGCGUGUCGAAGGUGGUAGGUUGCAGUAUAGGUAAAUCCGUACUGUAUAAGACCGAGAACUGAUAGAUAGACGAUACUUCGGUAAAGUCAAAUUCAAGUGAGCCAUGCUGUCGAGAAAAGCUUCUAGUGAGAGAUGAGGCGCCCGUACCGAAACCGACACAGGUAGGCGGGGAGAGAAUCCUAAGGUGCGCGGGACAACCCUCGUUAAGGAACUCGGCAAAUUGUAUCCGUAACUUAGGGAUAAGGAUAGCCGGAGGAUGUGAAGGGAUUUACUUCUGGAGCGUCAGCCGGUGGCACAAGAGAGGCCCAAGCGACUGUUUAGCACAAACACAGGUGCCUGCAAAAGAGAAAUCUGACGUAUAGGUGCUGACACCUGCCCGGUGCUGGAAGGUUAAGAGGAGGGCUUAGAGGAAACUCGAAGGCUUGAAUUGAAGCCCCAGUAAACGGCGGCCGUAACUAUAACGGUCCUAAGGUAGCGAAAUUCCUUGUC